rnacentral:tRNA from 2 species
GGAUGAAUGGCCGAGUGGUUGAAAGCAUCAAUUUUGAAAAUUGACAUAAAUUCUUAUCGUAGGUUCGAAUCCUACUUCAUCCU